UACUUUUAGUCAUACUACCGUUACUUUCUGAGUAUAACUUGACACUCAGUUAAAAGCAUACCCUCGUGGGGUUUUGGUCUCUUCCUCUGCUACUAAUCAGAAAAGGUCAAUGGGAAGAAGAGGAUGAUGGCCAUACAACAGGGACCUGUUGAACUGCUCUGCCAGUUUCCUUUGUGGAUUUUAACGGGAGGUCCUCAAAUGGUGUACCCCAGACAGUUGUAUGAGGGCUCUGAAUAAUUUGUUUUCGAAUUCCCGCCCCUUUCAUGAUGAAGUCUUGGUGGGUAUCCAAAUCGGGGUAUAAAGUCAUUAACAUUAAAGACCUUGUCAGCGGCUGUUUUGCCCUCAUUGUUUUUAGUGGGAUAUGCCUGUGCAAAUCUGGUGAAAUGGUCGACUACAACCAGAAUGUACUCAUAUCCACCCCUAC